AGUCUGGUGCCAGCAGCCGCGGUAAUUCCAGCUCCACUAGCGUAUGUUAAAAUUGUUGCGGUUAAAACGUUCGAAGUUGAUUAUUGUCCAGUGCGGGUGUGACGUCAUCAAGAAAUGAUUGUCAUCACUUUCCGGUUACUUGGACUAUUUGACUGAACACUAAAUGAAUAGCAUUGAUGUCUUUCACUAGACUAGAUGUCUAUUUAGUUCGGCUUACUUUUACCUUGAACAAAUUAAAGUGCUCAAAGCAGGCUUCAUAUGCUUGAAUAGUUUUGCAUGGAAUAAUGGAAAAAGACCUCGGUCUUAUUUGUUGCGCGGGUUCGCUCGCGUAAUGAUUUUCUAUUGGUUUGAUACAGAUCAAGAGGUAAUGAUUAAUAGAAGCAGUUGGGGGCAUUAGUAUUACGGCGCGAGAGGUGAAAUUCUUAGACCGUCGUAAGACUAACUAAAGCGAAAGCAUUUGCCAAGGAUGUUUUCAUUAAUCAAGAACGAAAGUUAGGGGAUCGAAGGCGAUUAGAUACCGCCCUAGUUCUAACUGUAAACGAUGACAGCUAGCGAUUGGGUGUCACUACAUAAUGGUGCACUCAGUAGCUUUCCGGGAAACUAAAGCUAGUUUCCGGGGGAAGUAUGGUUGCAAAGUUGAAACCUAAAGGAAUUGACGGAAGAUUACCUCCAGGAAUGGAAUUUGCGGCUUAAUUUGACCCAACACGGGAAAACUUACCAGGUCCGAACUCAAGUGGGUAUGACAAUUUGAUAGCGUUUUCACGAAUUUGAGGGUAGUGGUGCAUGGCCGUUCUUAGUUCGUGGAUUGAUUUGUCUGGUUAAUUCCGAUAACGAACGAGACUCAAUUAUUUAACUAGAUACCUAUCAGCCGUUGAGAUGCUGAAGUCAUAUGAUGUGGUGUGUCGCAAGGCAUUCCAUGACAUUUGAUCGAGUCUCACCUGAUAGUUUGGCUUUCGAUUUCGGUCGAUAAGCUUUAUCUGCUUAAAUAGACAAAUUGCUUUCAGCAAUAUGAAAUUGAGCAAUAACAGGUCCGUGAUGCCCUUAGAUGUUCUGGGCGGCACGCGAGUUACAAUGAAGCUGACAACGUGUUACCUUAUCCGAGAGGAUUGGGAAAUCACUUAGCCAGCUUCCUAGUUGGGAUUGUGGACUGAAAAAGUUCACAUGAACCAGGAACUCCUAGUAAGUGUGAGUCACUAGCUUGCAUUGAUUACGACCCUGAUCUUUGUACACACCGCCCGUCGCUAUUACCGACGAAUUAUUUAGUGAGAUCUCUGGAGGUAGACAUUGCGAUGCUUCGGUAUUGCGAUUGCUUUUGCCAAAGUUGAUCAAACUUGAUGAUUUGGAGGAAAUAAAAGUC
rnacentral:rRNA from 1 species